ACUCAUGGAGGUGGUGACAUUUUGUCUAUCUCAUUCAUUAAUUCAACAAACACUAGGACACAGUAGUAAAGCAAACAAAAUUCCUGCCUCCUUGGAGCUUAAUUCUAGUUAAGGGGUAUAGAAAGCAAGCAAACAUAAGUCAGAUAGCAAUAAGAAGAAAAAUAAAAGCAGUAUAAUGUGCUGUGAGGUGCUAUAUUGUCUAGAUUUCAGGGAAUCUGAACAAGUCAAGUGAGAGAGCAAGCCAUGCAGAUAAGGAGGAAGCACAUUCCAGGCAGGGGAACAGGAAGUCCUGAAGACCUUGGCUUACUUAAUGGACAGCAAGGAGGAUUCAGAUCGUCUAACCGAUUCGAUCUUAUGAAUGUGAGCUCCAGAAGGCCAGGAACUUGGUCUGCGUCAAUCUCCUAAUGCCUACAACAGUGCCUGAUCACUAUGGAGCCCUAAGAAGAGCUCUGUACACAUUUAUGGAAUUCAUCUCUACUGGAGAUACACACUGGAUACCGCUCAUUGAUCAUCGACGUACCUUGCUGAAAUAUUUAUGGGCCCAGAUUCCCUUAUCUGAUCCAGAUACUAGAAGAACUGUCAAGUCCAAGUCCCAUGAAGCUUCACUCGUGGCUGGAGAGAUUGGACUGAAGUUGCAGGAGAGCCAGCUGCCCUCUGCUUUCCUGCGUCGGAGCCUCUGGAAGCCUCUGGAAGCCCAGCCCCCCAGAAACCUCCAGCUCUGGCAGGAACAUGGCCCCAACUGAAGGAAGCUUGGUUUCUCUCUCUCCCUCUUUCUGUCAUUUCUUUUUCUUUCUUUCUUAUUUAGCUUGCAGGUGAGGGGUGAGGCUUACGGAAGA